rnacentral:rRNA from 1 species
UCCUACGGGAGGCAGCAGUGAGGAAUAUUGGACAAUGGUCGGAAGACUGAUCCAGCCAUGCCGCGUGCAGGAUGACGGCCUUAUGGGUUGUAAACUGCUUUUGUAAGGGAAGAAUAAGGGCUACGAGUAGUUUGAUGACGGUACCUUACGAAUAAGCAUCGGCUAACUCCGUGCCAGCAGCCGCGGUAAUACGGAGGAUGCGAGCGUUAUCCGGAAUCAUUGGGUUUAAAGGGUCCGUAGGCGGGCUAAUAAGUCAGGGGUGAAAUCGUUCAGCUCAACUGAGCAACUGCCUUUGAAACUGUUAGUCUUGAAUAGUUGUGAAGUAGUUGGAAUGUGUAGUGUAGCGGUGAAAUGCUUAGAGAUUACACAGAACACCGAUAGCGAAGGCAUAUUACUAACAAUUGAUUGACGCUGAUGGACGAAAGCGUGGGGAGCGAACAGGAUUAGAUACCCUGGUAGUCCACGCUGUAAACGAUGGAUACUAGCUGUUUGGACGCGAGUUUGAGUGGCUAAGCGAAAGUGAUAAGUAUCCCACCUGGGGAGUACGUUCGCAAGAAUGAAACUCAAAGGAAUUGACGGGGGCCCGCACAAG